rnacentral:rRNA from 1 species
AGAGUUUGAUCCUGGCUCAGGAUGAACGCUAGCGGCAGGCUUAACACAUGCAAGUCGAGGGGCAGCGCGGGGCGGCAACGUCCUGGCGGCGACCGGCGGAAGGGUGCGUAACGCGUGAGCGACAUGCCCGUUGCCCGGGGACAACCGGUGGAAACGCCGACUAAUCCCCGAUGGGAUACGAUGCUGCAUGGCAUUGUAUUGAAAGUUACGGCGGCGACGGAUUGGCUCGCGUCCGAUUAGCUGGUUGGCGGGGUGACGGCCCACCAAGGCUACGAUCGGUAGGGGUUCUGAGAGGAAGGCCCCCCACAAUGGGACUGAGACACGGCCCAUACUCCUACGGGAGGCAGCAGUGAGGAAUAUUGGUCAAUGGGCGGAAGCCUGAACCAGCCAUGCCGCGUGCGGGAAGGAGGCCCUAUGGGCUGUGAACCGCUUUUGCCUGGGGGCAAUAAGGGCGUCGCGCACGUCCGAUGAGAGUACCAGGCGAAUAAGCAUCGGCUAACUCCGUGCCAGCAGCCGCGGUAAUACGGGGGAUGCGAGCGUUAUCCGGAUUCAUUGGGUUUAAAGGGUGCGUAGGCUGUGCGUCAAGUCGGGGGUGAAAUUCCGGUGCUCAACACCGGGGCUGCCCUUGAUACUGUCGCGCUGGAGUGCGGAUGCCGCCGGAGGAAUGAGUGGUGUAGCGGUGAAAUGCUUAGAUAUCACUCAGAACACCGAUUGCGAAGGCAUCUGGCGAAUCCGUAACUGACGCUGAGGCACGAAAGCGUGGGGAUAGAACAGGAUUAGAUACCCUGGUAUUCCACGCCGUAAACGAUGAUGGCUAACCGCCGGCGACACACUGUCGGUGGCCAAGCGAAAGCGAUAAGCCAUCCACCUGGGGAGUACGUCGGCAACGAUGAAACUCAAAGGAAUUGACGGGGGCCCGCACAAGCGGAGGAACAUGUGGUUUAAUUCGAUGAUACGCGAGGA